AGUGAACGCUGGCGGCAGGCCUAACACAUGCAAGUCGAGCGGCAGCGCGUCCGACCACCCUCGGGUGGUCGGAUGGCGGCGAGCGGCGGACGGGUGAGGAAUGCAUCGGAAUCUGCCUCGUUGUGGGGGAUAACGUAGGGAAACUUACGCUAAUACCGCAUACGACCUACGGGUGAAAGUGGGGGACCUUCGGGCCUCACGCGAUGAGAUGAGCCGAUGCCGGAUUAGCUAGUUGGCGGGGUAAAGGCCCACCAAGGCGACGAUCCGUAGCUGGUCUGAGAGGAUGAUCAGCCACACUGGAACUGAGACACGGUCCAGACUCCUACGGGAGGCAGUAGUGGGGAAUAUUGGACAAUGGGGGCAACCCUGAUCCAGCCAUGCCGCGUGUGUGAAGAAGGCCUUC
rnacentral:rRNA from 1 species